AUGCUUCACUGUUGUAUACUUAAUAUGUGCUGCUUGAGUUGUUGCAUUCUAGUGGCAUUAUAUCUGUGAAGUCAUAUGAAUGUUCCUCUCGCUAUCCAGUGUGAUUACAAUGUUGCAUUUGGACGUUGGGGACCUACAUGG